CAGAGAUCAUGCCCUCACGGGUAGACCUCCCACCCUGUGUUAUUUACUCUUGUUGCUUUGGCAGGCCGCCUUCGGGCUCUCGGCUCCGGCUGAGGUGCGCCUGCCAGAGGACCCCAACUCUGUGUUUAGUGUCAUCUGAGUACUAUAUAAUAAGUUA
rnacentral:misc_RNA from 1 species